AUUGAACGCUGGCGGCAUGCUUUACACAUGCAAGUCGAACGGUAACAGGUUAAGCUGACGAGUGGCGAACGGGUGAGUAAUGCAUCGGAACGUGCCCGAUCGUGGGGGAUAACGCAGCGAAAGCUGCGCUAAUACCGCAUACGAUCUGAGGAUGAAAGCGGGGGACCGUAAGGCCUCGCGCGAUCGGCGCGGCCGAUGUCAGAUUAGGUAGUUGGUGGGGUAAAGGCUCACCAAGCCGACGAUCGGUAGCUGGUCUGAGAGGAUGAUCAGCCACACUGGGACUGAGACACGACCCAGACUCCUACGGGAGGCAGCAGUGGGGAAUUUUGGACAAUGGGGGAAACCCUGAUCCAGUCAUGCCGCGUGAGUGAAGAAGGCCUUCGGGUUGUAAAGCUCUUUCGGACGGAACGAAAUCGCUUGGGUGAAUAUCCUGAGUGGAUGACGGUACUGUAAGAAGAAGCACCGGCUAACUACGUGCCAGCCGCCGCGGUAA
rnacentral:rRNA from 1 species